rnacentral:rRNA from 1 species
GACAGAGGAUGCAAGCGUUAUCCGGAAUGAUUGGGCGUAAAGCGUCUGUAGGCGGCUUUUUAAGUCUGCCGUCAAAUCCCAGGGCUUAACCCUGGACAGGCGGUGGAAACUACCAAGCUGGAGUACGGUAGGUGUAGAGGGAAUUUCCAGUGGAGCGGUGAAAUGCAUUGAGAUCGGAAAGAACACCAACAGCGAAAGCACUCUGCUGGGCCGACACUGACACUGAGAGAUGAAAGCUAGGGGAGCAAAUAGG